AUGCUCCAUGUGUGUGUCAUAUCCCGUGUGAGAGAAGUGGCUAAGAAUAAGAUAGAUGUCUCUUAACCUAGGCCUAGAUUAAUUCAAAUUUAGUUAAAAUGGCGGUAGGAACGAAGUUGUUUUGCAUAUUAAUGUGGAUUUCGUGUUUGUAUGCUGUAAGCAUAUUUAUUUUUACCAAAGGAUUUUUAUUGAAACGGCUAGAAAUUCCUAACAAAAGUGACUGUUCGAUCAGGCUCGAGGAACAGUCGGUUUUCUCGAUGAGGACACAAGAAGGAGGACUCUUCUCAGACGAUGCAUAUGGGGACACCCCACACGUAGGCCUAGGAUCACAAUUUCAUAUCGAUAAUAUGUGUACUGCGCAGGAUCGUUUCAACAAAUCUAUAAUACUUCUUAUUGACGCUCUUCGUUACGACUUUCUUUUAUUUAAUGAAUCUCUUGAUGCAACGGGAACUUUGCCAUUUCAAAAUAAGCUACCAAUUAUACAAAGUUUAAUUGAAAAGAAACCAUCUCAUUCUCUUCUUUAUCAAUUCUUAGCUGAUCCACCAACAACGACAAUGCAACGCCUAAAGGGGCUUACCACAGGGAGCCUACCAACAUUUGUUGAUGUGGGAAACAACUUUGCGAGUUCGGAAGUUGAGGAAGAUAACCUAAUUCACCAGUUGGUGAAAGCAGGGAAAAAUAUAACAUUCAUGGGCGAUGAUACGUGGGAGUCACUUUUUGCGGGUAAAUUUGCGAAAUCUUUUCCAUUUCCAUCAUUCAACGUAAAGGAUUUACAUUCAGUGGACAAUGGAAUCAUGAAACACCUUCUGCCAGAAAUUAAUCAGUCUGAUUGGAAUAUCCUGAUAGCUCACUUCCUUGGUGUUGACCACUGUGGUCAUAGAUAUGGCCCAUACCAUUCUGCAAUGGGGGAGAAGCUCUCGCAGAUGAAUGAUGUAAUUAGUUCGGUGGUAGAAAACAUGGACAACGAUACACUGCUACUAGUUUUUGGUGACCACGGAAUGACAGGUACUGGAGACCACGGUGGUGAUAGUAAUGACGAGCUUACAGCGGGUCUCUUUAUCUACAGUCAAAAAGAUCUCAGAAAGCUUAACCCUGGAUUGGCAAUGAAUGCCUACCGAUCAAUAUCCCAGAUUGACUUGGUCCCAAGUUUGUCUCUUCUUCUAGGAAUUCCUGUUCCAUUCUCUAACCUAGGAAUGGUCAUUCCUGAGCUUUUUAUGUUUGGUGCUGAUAGAAAAUCUCCUGAAGUACUGGACCACCUUUCACUGUUGUUAGCAAAAUAUCAUCCAGCAUACCUGAGGAUGGAAGCAUUGAGGAUUAACAGUUUUCAAGUGAAACGUUAUCUGGAUUCCUACUCAAGAAAGGUGGAUGAGUUCCCAUACCAUAUUUCAGCAAUAUUAGAACAGAAGUUUGCCAAUGCAGAAACACUGUUUCACAAUUUACAACAGAACCUAAAUGAUGAAGAAGUAAAAAUUGCGAUAGAUGGUGCAACAGCUAUGUACAUGGAAUACCUCUCAGGUGUCAAAGAGAUGUGCCGUGGUAACUGGGCUAAGUUUGAUCUUUUGUCAAUGGCAUGUGGAGUAGUUCUCACUGUCAGCACUUGUGUGGCCGUGUGGGUAGUUCUCAACUUUGUGGACGGAAUUAAAGACAGAGAAAAGAUUGAGGAUACCCUAAAUUCUCUUUUAGGAAACAUGUUAACUGGUAUGAUAACAAUAUUUCCCAUGAGCGUUAUAAUCACAAGCCAGGUGGAAGAUUUAAUGACAGUCAAGACAACGAUCCUGUUGUUUUUUCCUGCAUUAGGUUCCAUUCUUGGGAGUCUUCUAUGUGUUCUUCAGACUCAAGGAAUGCCAUGUAUGUCUGAUGUUUUAUUAUACAUAAAACAUACACCAAAGGAAUCACUUUGUUCUUCUGGAUUGCUGUUUCUUUAUGUGGUGUCACUAACAUCAAAUAGUUUUGUUGUGUAUGAAGACAGGACAGCAGUAUUUCUACUUCAAUUUAUCGUCUUGUUAGUGUAUCUUAUAUCAGGUAUAAGAAGCUUAAUAAAAUUUAAAAGAAUUAAAUCUCGCGACAUUGGUCGAAUAUUGACGCACCCUGUUGCCAUAGUCACAUACAUGUUAUUAGCUUUUCAAGCGUGUGUGCGGUUAUCAUCACACUUUAGGAUAUGUCGAGAAGAACAAGUGCCAUGCUCCCAAUCAGAUCUCUUGCAACCACUACUUGUUUUUGAUCCUGAGAACAGCACAUACAAUAAUUUUCGUUAUAUUAAAGCAGUUGUAAGCAUCUGUUUGAUUCCAUUUCUUUUAAAAUUCUGGUUACAGAAGCAAGGGAACUUGAACGGAAGUUCUGCUGCUAGUGUAUGUAUCAAGUAUGCAUUGCCAACAAUAUCUGUUUUUAUAUUCUUUCAUUGGGGUCUCAUGUCUCUGCCAGAAAAAGUUCUUGAUAAAUUGCCAAUGUGGCAGCAAACAUUUCUAGCAAAGUGUGUGUAUGUUCUCUCAACCAUUUCCAUCGUAUCAAUAAUCUGGCAGCCUUUGUUGAUUCAUAUUCUUGAGCGUGAAAAGAAACACCAACACAAAUUCCACAGCAAAGGUGAACAUGAUGAUCAGGUUGUUCCUCGUCUCUUUGAUUACAUUAAAUCAAGUUUUCAAAACCAGAAUGGACGUGGAAAGCAAGCUACAACUGUAACACAUGAAAAAAUCCAAGAAACACCGGCAGUGUUUGGUUUAGCGACAACCUAUUCUGCUUGUCUUCUGCAGUUAAUUGCAACCGUUAUACUUGUCCUCUCCAUGUUGCUAGGUGAUGGAUUCUCACCUGCAUUAACAUUAGUGUGUGUACAGGUGUUGCUGUACCUUGAACUUGUGGCAUGCAUUCGCCAUGCACAGCUAAAAAUAUUUAGUGCUUUACCCGAGCUUAAAAAAAUGGCACUACUGCAUGUUACUUGGUAUGCUGUGUUUGGCUGGGGGUUAAUGGCCUCCCAGUUCUUCUUUGUUACUGGUCACCAUGCCACGUUUCCAUCAAUUCGCUUUGAAGCCGGGUUUGUUGGUUUUAAUGGUGACUUUCCUGUCUACCUAUACUUCAUCCCAGCAGUUUUGAUUGGUGCAAAUACAUUUUCUUCUAAUAUCAUCUUCGGUCUGGCUCUUCCAUUGGUCCUUUUAUGGCCAUUCUCAAGAGGGAAGUUAGCAGAUAAGAAGAAUUCUGACAAUGAGGGAGAGGUUGUUUUGCGGGACCACUGCACAGAACUACGCAUUGGCUUAUUCCGAUUGGUGAUGCUUUAUAUCUUGUUCCAUGGCUGCAAGCUCCUUGGUUGCAUGUUCUCGGCAGCAGUUCAUCGACGGCACCUAAUGAUCUGGAAGAUAUUUGCACCGCGGUACAUAUUUGAUGGUAUCGGGUUCCUCGUCACGCUGGUAGUUGUACUGUUGGCCUACCUCUUCAUUCUUAGAACAGAUAACCAACUUGCCAAGUGGUUGGCCAGACUUUUCAAAAUAGUAAAACUUUUAAGAGAUUCUAGGUGAUGUGUUUUAAUGAAAAUAUUUCUUCAAAUAUUUCCAUAAAAACCUAGUGGUAAUAAAUGUUAUUGUUUGAAUGUUAAUUGUUAAUGUUAAGGGCAUAAAUUGUCAAAUACCUGUAGUUAAAAUUGCCAAAACCAGGUAAAAACUCUUAUUGAAUUUGUAUAUUUGAGCUAUGUUCAUUUAACAUUGCCAUCUUAAAAAUAUGAAUGAUUACUGCACAGUGUGUGUUUAGUUAAGAGUAGAACAUUUGAAGAAUAAAAUUCAAUAUUUGAAUUGCAUACAGUACUUUAAGUAAACUUAAGUAUUAAUAAUUGCUACAUGAUUUAAAUACCAUAAAACCUGAAAUAGAAACCCUGGGCUUUACAAACUUUAGAUGGGUUUCUUUUCAAGGCUACUUUUGCAAAGCAAAGAGCGGGGGCUUCUUUUCAAAAUGAAUGCUGAAAUUUUAGGAAUUAUUUCUACUAUAAAACAAUAGGGCCACUGUAACAUCAAUCUGUAUCAUGGAGUGUAUUAACUGGCAUUAAAUCAUCUAAACUUUGUUUAAACCGUGUGUUUAAUUUAUUUUGUUUCUUUGAAAUUUAUGUACAGUGUAUAAUGUACUGUACUAUCUCGGAAAGAAGUUCAUGAGCUUCUUUUUUGAGGUUACUUUUGGAAAUUAAAGAGGGGCUUUAAUGGAGAUUCAAGAUUGUCAUUGUUUCGAAAGCCAUCGAUGGCUAUUUAUUAUCCACUCAUAAACAACGCAUGUAUGCAAUCAACACAAUAUAUACCCAACAUUACUGGUUUAGAAUGCCUAAUUUAAUAAUAUCAUUGGAGGAAAUAAACAAAGGUUGUUAGCAAUUUUAAUUGCAUUUGAAAAGAAAGAUGACAAGAACCUUAAUGAACAACCACAAAAAGGAAGAAAUUGGGAAUGGCGGGAGUUUUUAACAGAGAUGGAACAAAUUACGGCGUGGAGGAAAGAAAGUGUGUAGGGGAUGAUUUGAGUUUUUGUCAAUCUUAGAAUGUAAACUAAUAAUACAAAAUUUCUGUCCAACUUAUAAUGAAGAUACAUUAUAAGACGAAAGAAUAGUAGCAAAUUUAGACGAGGAGGCAGAGGGAUUGACAUUCUUGGUGAAAAUUGUCUAUUCUCGAGAUUAAGCCUAUUGGUUUUACAGAAUACAGUCAAACAAAAAUUGUCAAAGUAGAAAUUAUUUUCAUGUCACUUCAUCUUCCCUAUAUUUACAAUGGUUAAUAUUUGCUCUAACUCGAAUAAAUUUAAGUUGAAUAAAACGAAAGUCGAACAACAUUUUACAUGCCAAAUUGAUUUCCAUUGAUUGUUAGUCCGUAAGUCAAAGUUGAUGUAAAACUUAAAUCAUUUUUAGCUGUCGCUGUAUUACAGACAUCGCUGUGAAUGUCAACAAGUGACUCAUACAUUUGGCAAUGCAGAAAUUCUCAUGCUAAGUAAGUCCGACAAGUGACUCGUGUUUACAUUGCAUGGCAGUAUUUUGUGUAGUUUAAUUUACAUGCGAAUGGUAUACUGUACAGUAUUAUCAAAGAAUUUGAAUAAGUGCCCCACUUUGAAUCAAUGUCCCCCUCACAUAAAUUCCCCCUAUAGAGUCUCAUUUGGAAUAAAUGCCUCCCCCCAAAUAAAUGCCCCGGGCUGGGGCGUUUAUUUUUCCUUGAAUAAACAUCCUCCUUAAAUGACUGUAAACAAAACUAAUGGAAAUAACAUUCUCAACACAUUCUAUUAAAUGUUCUACAGUGCUAUAGCAGAAUAACAUUUUAAACCUUUUUGGGACUAAUAGGUCUUUUGGAUUCAUGCAAUCAUUCAUUUUGAUGGUAUUUAUGUAUUGUAGUUCCACAUUUACAUAGAAAAAAAGGGUCGUAUAUACGCAUCCAUUUUACACCAAAAGCAUUCAUGCCCCCCUCUAAUAAACACCCCCUCAAAAACCCUUCUCAACAAGUUAAAAAAAUGUUAAAUCAUAACAUACAAUUAUCACAUCAUACUGCAUGUUAUAUUUGAGCACUAUUAUGAUUUAUCUAUUAAAAUCAAAAUGGUUGUAAUCAGAUAUGAAUUCCCAACAAAGACCUACAGGCCCAUCCAAGUAAGGCAUCUGCAGAGAUAGCAGUCCAGUGUUCGAAUCCUAGUUUAGCAAGAUUUUAAUGUUCAAAAUUUAUAUACAGUAUAAAGGUAAUUACACUAUAGCGUUAUAACAAAAUGGUUUAGAGUUUAUUGUAAAAAGAGUGGGAGAGACUAUAAUACACAAGAUACAUAAAGUAUCAACUUGUACUGACCGAUUCAAUAUAUCUAUCAAGCUUACUUAUUCAUUAAUAUGUUUACUGUACAGCAUACAGACAGUA
rnacentral:misc_RNA from 1 species